AGCCACAGUGACAUUACUAGAGAUUAUCUUCUCAUAUCUUGACGAUUUUCCCACCCCAGCAAACGAGAUGAUCUCCACCUGUGUUUAUCUUUAAUCUUAUCCCAUUGCCUCUGCUUCCUUACGUGAUUUCAUAAAGAGUCCCUUAUGCUUCUUGUGGAGAAAUUCAGAAAAGCACGGAAAGAUCCUUGUGAUGAGAAAGUGUGCUCCCAGAGGUACAUAGCAGCUUGCAUGAAAACUACCGUUUCACUGCCAUGGAAAUGAGAAAUCGUGAGAGUUAAUGGAAUGAUGAAUCCCCAUUGCUUGAAGACUUUCAAUCAGAGCUGGCUGCCUCAGAGAGUUACUGUUUUCUGUGCAGGAGGAACCGGAGGAGCCAACUUUCCAGAUCUCCUGAAGGUCUCAUGGAGGGGUUGAAUGUCUUUGGGAAUGCUGUUGGACCGGCACUGGUUUCUUUAGAGUUCAUUUGGUGUUAAGUUCACAGAUGCCUAAUUAACAGGAGUCUUAGCAGAGGUCCAGUGUGCCGUACCACUGCCUGCUAUUCGUGUAUCAAAACCACUCGGGUCUCUUUUGCUAUUGCAAAAGGAAACGUUCAGCCCUGCUCCUGUUCGGACGAUCUAUUGGCUCUGUGUCAGAAAAUACAACGGCACGGAUCUGAGAGCAUUAGUUAAAGACGUGAAGAAUCACAUCCUACAUUGUAAACGUAAAUUUGUGUGAAUUAUAUUUUAAGUACGCUCGGGAAAUUUACAUAUAGA
rnacentral:lncRNA from 1 species